rnacentral:snRNA from 1 species
AAGUGUUACAGCUCUUUUCAAUUUGUCCAGCAGGUUUCCAGUUCCUACCAAA